UUGAGUCGCAAGACAAGACAGUGGCAGACGGGUGAGUAACGCGUAGGAAUCUAUCCCUGGGUGGAGCAUAGCCUUCCGAAAGGAAAGGUAAUUCUCCAUAGUUCUCGUAAGAGUAAAGGACUUAACGGUCCGCCGAGGGGGGAGCCUGCGUCCUAUCAGCUAGUUGGCGGGGUAAAGGCCCACCAAGGCGAUGACGGGUAGCUGGACUGAGAGGUCGAUCAGCCACAACUGCACUGAGACACGGGCAGUACAUCUACGGAUGGCAGCAACCAGGAAUAUUGCGCAAUGGACGAAAGUCUGACGCAGCGACGCCGCGUGGAGGAUGAAGGCCCUCGGGUUGUAAACUCCUUUUACCAAGCCGUUCACAGCUUGGAGAAUAAGCCCCUACUAACUACGUGCCAGAAGUCUCGGUAAUACGUAGGGGGCAAGCGUUAUCCGGAUUUAUUGGGCGUAAAGUGUGCGUAGGCGUUCCAUAAAGUCUUCACUUAAAUACCGAGGCUUAACCUCGGGACUGGUGGAGAUACUCAUGGAAUUGAGGAUUGGUAAGGAUGCUGGAACAGUUAGUGUAGCAGUGAAAUGCGUUGAUAUUAACUGGAACACCAAGGGCGAAGGCAAGCAUCUGUACUUUUCCUGACGCUGAGGCACGAAAGCUAGGGUAGCGAAACAGAUUAGAUACCUGUGUAGUCCUAGCCGUAAACGAUGUCCGCUGGCUCUUGCCGACUUGUCGGCAGGGGUCUAAGCUAACGCAUUAAGCGGACCGCCUGGGGAGUACGGCCGCAAGGCUAAAACUCAAAGGAAUUGAC
rnacentral:rRNA from 1 species